UAAUAAUAUAAAGUUUAGAAACUUAAAGGAUCUGGCGGUAAAUUAAUAAAAUUAGAGGAACUUGUAUUUUUAUAGAUAUUCCUCAUUUAACCUUACUUUUAUUUUAUAAGUUUAUAUAUCACUGUUUAGAAUAUUUUAAUAAAAUUAAUAUUCUUUUCUUUUUUUGAAAUAAAAUCAAGUCAAGGUGUAGCUUUUUUAAAAGUUAAUAUGAGUUACAAUUAUUAAAAUAAUGGAUUAAAAUUUGAAAUAAUUUUAUUAAAUUGGAUUUAAAAGUAUUUUUAAAUUAGAUAGUUAAAGAGAAUAAUAAUUUAAUUUAUGU
rnacentral:rRNA from 1 species